UGGGGAAUAUUGGACAAUGGGGGAAACCCUGAUCCAGCCAUGCCGCGUGAGUGAUGAAGGCCUUCGGGUUGUAAAGCUCUUUUGGGUGGGACGAUGAUGACGGUACCACCAGAAUAAGAUCCGGCUAACUUCGUGCCAGCAGCCGCGGUAAUACGAAGGGAUCUAGCGUUGUUCGGAUUUACUGGGCGUAAAGGGCGCGUAGGCGGUCUGAUAAGUAGGGUGUGAAAGCCCUGGGCUCAACCCAGGAACUGCAUCCUAAACUAUCAGGCUUGAGUGUUGGAGAGGUAAGUAGAAUUCCCAGUGUAGAGGUGAAAUUCGUAGAUAUUGGGAAGAAUACCAGUGGCGAAGGCGGCUUACUGGACAACAACUGACGCUGAGGCGCGAAAGCGUGGGGAGCAAACAGG
rnacentral:rRNA from 1 species